ACAACAUGCUCAAGGUCACUGCUAUACCACUAAGGGUCGAGGGGUCAGUGUUGCAUUCAUUUGCCGCCCAAGGAAUCUACUGAUCGUAGAUUAUAAUACACUUCACUACUUCGAAUUGACCUCGGAAGAUAGAGAAAGAUGCUUCCAGUUAACAAGGGCACAGAUAGGGUGCUCUCCAACGGCUAUAAUGAACAUGGAUACCAAACCAAACUGUAUACUAGAAGAAAUUUAUGAACGAUUUAAGAAUAGCACAUGUCCAGUGGUGACCCGGACAAUAAAACAAGCUCAGUGGAGUAAGAUGGGUACUCCCAACCUCUGGCUAGUUAUCACGCCGAUCACGAUACACUUGUUUAUUAUUUGUGAUGGAAAUCGGAACGAAAGAGUCCUGGAACGAGUCACAUUUCUGAAACUCUCACCCCGAUGCAUCGCCCAAACGACGAAUAUUACACUACUCCCCACUAGCAAUGGAGUGGAGACAGCGGUUACCAGUUACCUGAAGACCCCAAUCACUCCCGUAGCACAAUUGGUGACGAGGACACGACGUAAGUUAAAUACGACACCACACACUCACAUUAACAUACAAGGAGAAGAGCUCCGUCCUAUACUAUUUGAAGAGGAGAGUCUGGAGGAAGAGUUAACACACAGGCCUUGGCGAACGAUACAAGAAUCACAUUGGCCUUAUUUAGCGUAAUUGGGCUACUCGCGUUAUGGAAAUACUGUCCUGUUACACCCAAAUGUCGCUCAGGUAAACCACUUAAUUAGAAACCCGAACGCGAGGUACACACGUUAGUUAGGAACCGGAAAGACGAUUCCCCGUCGACUUCCAAAGCCGACGUUCAACUCACCACAUUUUCUUCCAAUAGCCCCAAUUUUGAUCUAAAUAAUAGAGUCCGACAUUGAGAUCUAAGGUUACGGUUGGAGAGAUAUUAAUUUAUUCUUAAACUAUUUUGUAUAAUCAUGUUAGAAAUAUAUUAUGUUUAUGUUAUACUUGUAAACAUUGAGUACUGACACUUGGGCCAGAUUGGCCGUUGGGCAGUAUGUCCAAUACCAAAUAUUCAGAAUUAAUAUCCGAUAUUGAACAGUAUAAUUAUAUCACCCAGGAGAUCGCACGAAAUAAUAAAACUAUUUACCUUCGUUAGAUACACAAAUCACGCGGUUCUCGUGUCAACGAUGACACAAUUUCAGCUUCUAUAAAACUAUGAUAUCUCAGCUAGAGAAAGAGUCUUCAACUAAAUCGCGUACCACUCACAGUCAAUACUCAACGUUCUCCCGGGGUAAUUACCCUAGUGUCGGUCUUAUUAAUAAAUUCUCUAAUUGCUA
rnacentral:misc_RNA from 1 species